UUGCACGCUGGCGGCCUGCCUUACACAUGCAAGUCGAACGGCAGCACGGGUGCUUGCCCCUGGUGGCGAGUGGCGAACGGGUGAGUAAUACAUCGGAACAUGUCCUGUAGUGGGGGAUAGCCCGGCGAAAGCCGGAUUAGUACCGCAUACGAUCUACGGAUGAAAGCGGGGGACCUUCGGGCCUCGCGCUAUAGGGUUGGCCGAUGGCUGAUUAGCUAGUUGGUGGGGUAAAGGCCUACCAAGGCGACGAUCAGUAGCUGGUCUGAGAGGACGACCAGCCACACUGGGACUGAGACACGGCCCAGACUCCUACGGGAGGCAGCAGUGGGGAAUUUUGGACAAUGGGCGAAAGCCUGAUCCAGCAAUGCCGCGUGUGUGAAGAAGGCCUUCGGGUUGUAAAGCACUUUUGUCCGGAAAGAAAUCCUUGGCCCUAAUACGGUCGGGGGAUGACGGUACCGGAAGAAUAAGCACCGGCUAACUACGUG
rnacentral:rRNA from 1 species